rnacentral:rRNA from 1 species
UAGCGUAUAUUAAAGUUGUUGUGGUUAAAAAGCUCGUAGUUGGAUUUCGGCGGGUAGUGGUCGGUUUGAAUUGCUUCAACACUGGCUUUUUUACCCGUGUGUUUUGCCAGAAUUUAACGGGUGAUCUUCGCCGAUUGUCCGUUAGAACUGGCAGGUUUACUUUGAAAAAAUUAGAGUGCUCAAAGCAAGCUUGAUUGCUUGAAUAUUCGUGCAUGGAAUAAUAGAAUAGGAAGUCGUUUCUAUUUUGUUGGUUUUCGGAAAUCGACUUAAUGAUUAAUAGGGAUAGUCGGGGGCAUUUGUAUUCAAACGAC